GCCGGUUAUCAAGCAGGAGAGCAAUAAAAUCUUACAACACAGAGAGUACAAGAAUUUUAAAAUCAUCUUAUAGUUGUUUGAAUAUUGGAAAUGAAGAUUUUCUAAAACUGGCAGUGGAAGACUUCAACAUUUGCCAGUCUAUACACCAUAAAGAGCUCAACCAUCUUGCAAGGUGGGUUGUGGAGAACAGAUUAGACAAGCUAAAGUUUUCUAGGCAGAAACAGGCCUACUGUUACUUCUCUGCUGCUGCAAACCUUUUCCCUCCUGAACUAU